CCUACGGGUGGCAGCAGUGGGGAAUAUUGCACAAUGGGGGAAACCCUGAUGCAGCGACGCAGCGUGCGUGAUGACGUAUCUCUGUAUGUAAAGCUCCUUCAGUAGGGCAGUAAAUGACGGUACCUGUCUAAUAAUCCCCUGCUAACUACGUUCCAGACGCCCCGGUUACACGGCGGGGGCAAGCGUUAUCCGGAUGUACUGGGUGUAAAGGGUGUGUAGACGGUGCAGCAAGUCUGAUGUGAAAGGUCGGGGCCCAACCCCGGCACUGCUGUGGAAACGGUUGAGCUGGAGUACAGGAGAGGUAAGCGGAAUUCCUAGUGUAGCGGUGAAAUGCGUAGAUAUUAGGAGGAACACCAGUGGCGAAGGCGGCUUACGGGACUGUAACUGACGUUGAGGCUCGAAAGCGUGGGGAGCAAACAGGAUUAGAUACCCUAGUAGUC
rnacentral:rRNA from 1 species